AUUGUAUAAAUAAAAUCAAUAACAUUAUCAGUAACUGCAUACCAUAAGUUAUCUAGCAACCAAAAACCGGUGAUUAAGCUUUUCAGAAUGCCAAAUAUCAGGGUCUCAUUAUUAGACAAUAGGUUUUUCUUUCGCUCUUUAGAAAACUUGUAAGAGUAAUGCGUCUGAUUCAAGCAUGCAGUUCAAGCAACCUUGGAGUUGUUGAAACCAAUAUUAGACCCCAGAAUGAGGACAAUAUUGAGAAGCAAAAAAGUAUAGGUUUUAAAAGCAAUCCAAUGUGAGGCUCCCCAAUCAAGGAUCAGUACAUUAUCAACAAAUCGUAAGUAACUUGAGAUGGAGAAUCCACCUUUGGAAGAACGCUCAGAUUGGGCCUAGGACUCUCCCCAAGAUUUAAUUUACAAGAUAGUGAGACUAGAGAAACCUUUGAUUAAUGAACAUACAUGAUCAAACAAGUCUUACUCUUCGAGACAGAAAAGCUUUUUCCAAGAGAGAUCAAAUAAUACAUCUAUUUGCAUAAGAAGAAAAAAAGAUUAAAAUCCUAAAAAAAAAAUGGUUAAAAUAUACAAAAUAACUAAUGUCAAUAUCUUUACUUAGAAAAAUGACUAAUGAGAAUAAAAUAGAUAUUUGAACCUAACUUGGAAAGUGAAUAAAUUUUCAAGAAGACACAAGGAACAGAUCAAGCAACUAUAGAAUCAAAGUGCAUAUCAAGAAGACACAAGGUUUAAUUGGCAUGCAGACUAACAUGAUAGAGCCAAUUAGAGAAGCUCUCAUUUUUUAUUGGACAGAGGAAGUGUUAGAAUCCAGGUUUAUUGUCCUGAUUUUUUUCCAGGUGACUUAGGUCAAGCAUGCUUCAAGUAUGAAGAUAGGUGGGCAACUAUCUCAGCAAGAUCAUGGACAGAAUGACCUUCAGCCUUGUUCUCAAACAGAGAAAGGAAAAAAAAUAGAAAAUUAAGACAAUCCCAAUAAUGAUGUAUUAGUUAAAUUACAGUUCUGUAAGAUUAGGUACAACUUAUAGAUUUCCUUUUGUAUAUUUAUACCCAAAGUUAAAAAGUAAAUAACCUACAUUUCAUGAUAACAACAAAAAUAAAAAUAGAAGUAUCUAUUUUAAAAAAACAAAAAGAAAUUGAGCAGAGUGUAUCAAUAUGUUACUAGUGCCUUAUUUUUCUAGUACAUGAUGAAGCAUGUAUAACCUGCAGCCAAUUUUCUGAAAGCAACCUGCAGCCUUAUUUUCUACCACUUUCUAUACAAUAUAUUUAGCUAGAGAUCAAGAAUCAAAUGUCAGUUGUAUUAUAGCCUCGAAUUAGGUGGGUUAGGCUUUUUUUAACAAUGGAAAAUCAUGAUUUUCGGAGGCAUAUUUCUACCAGUGAUAGACCAAUGUUGAGCUAAAAUGACCACUGAACUUAAAAAUAGUUUUUUUUUUCUUGCAUUGCGCUAUCCUCCUUUUGCUUCGGUUAUUUGGGUAUUCAUUUAGAGUGGACAACCAGGCAAUUGCCUCCAUUGAGACUUCCUACAACUCCAAAAGUAUUUCCAACUUCUUCCUUAGUAAGCUAUUAGUAGAAAUGGCAGAUAUAAAUAGAUUGAGAGAGAGAGACAGAGAGCAUCACAUACCCAGCCCUAGAACUCAGUUUACUAAACUGCUCCAAGAUAGACAUGAGGCAUGUGUGUCUUAAGGAAAUAGCAUGGAAGGCUUCUGAAAGCUCAUGCAUUCUUGAAACAUUUUCCAGUGAUAUAUCCUUGAAAAUAAAAAUAAAAGAGUCACCAGGUGUCCACAAUCUGAUUCAAAGCAGUAAAGGAAUUCAUAUCCAAAAAAUCGAGCUCCUUAACUCACAUGGGCAAUGGUACACUCACAGGGACGCUUUAUCCCUGCAAGAGAUGCUGAUCAGUAGCUAUAAGGAGAUCUUGUGCAAUAUCCAAUAUAAUUUCUACAGAUCCAGUGUAUAUAAAUCUGUACAAAAAUAGAAUGUCAGUAAAUAAGAAAAGCUCAAGUCAAUUUGGAGAUGGAGCAGUGAUGCAGACAAGAUUUAAUUUCCAUCUGAGUUGUCCAAGGCCUAAUCUGGUUCUUGGUGUUAAACCUCAUUCAGAUAGAUCAGGAAUCAUUGUCCUUCUGCAAGAUAAAGCUAGAAGUAGAAGGUCUUCAAGUUUUCAAAGAUGAUAAAUUGUUUAGGAUGUUGACUAGAUAGAAUUGAAAAGGAAAACAAUGGAAUCAAGGUGUAAUUUUUUCUUCUCUCUAAUGCAAUAACACAACAAUAGACAAUGCUAAACAAGUUAAAAUCUUAUUUAUUCAAAGCAAGUCUUCAAGGGGCAUAUUGUUUCAAAAGAAAAAGAAAAAAUUUAAUGACAUUAAUCAGAAAUCUUCCAGAGUCAAAAGCCCCCAAAUGAUGUGACAAUCAUAUUCAAGUGUAUUGAUAUUUACCCACCUCACCAACAUUGCUCAUGGCAAAGAAAAGUGUCCCUGCAACAAGGAGUGUAUCACCAAUUAGAGGUUUCAAACCUUCUAAGAGACAAAUACAAGUUUGUGUGAUAGUUGAUACUGUACUAAUAAAUAAUAAUGUAAAAUUUUCAGUAAUGAAUUAGAAAAUGCCUCAAUGACAAAACAAAGCUCUAGUUCUAGAAUUUUCAGGUGGAUUAAGUCAUACUCUAUUUUGCUGAAUUUCAUGAUAGUUAUGCACUAAUUCUUGGAAGAUGAAGGUUUUUGGCACCAUAAAAAUAUGUCGCACAUAACAGUCUAUGCAUGCUUUAGACCUUUAAGUUCAAAAGAGAGAAGAGAUCAUGGUGAUACAGUUUUUGUCCAAAGCCUAGAUUCAGAAACUUCCAUUUUCAAGGUUAUCUUUCACUAAAAAUUGCUACUUAUCUGUUUCUGUUCAUUUAUUCAUGAAAAUAAUCAUUAUAAUAAUUGAAUUGAUGAAUGGUAGGAUGAGAAGGGAGAGGAUUUUUACCUUUAGCUUUGAUAGGGUUUUCUAUCAUGGAUUCGAGCAAGUUGAUGUCUAUCAAUUUCUAGCCCAGCCUUUUUUUUUUUUUUUUUUUUGAUAGGUAAGAAAAGUUCAUGGUAAAUCAAAAUACCAAAGAACACGAUGAAACUUCAAAAAUUCAAAACCUAGAACUUUCUUACAGGUUGUUUUAUUUGACUUAAAAAGAUAAAAAACAAUCUGUUUUUUUAAUUACAAUUUCUGCACAACUAAACAGCACAUUAACAAACGAAUUGACUAAAAAACACAGAUCUACAAUAACCAUGAAAGAAUCAUCAUCAAAAACUAAUUCCCCAAAACAAAAAAUCAGACCCGUGGAGAGAAUAAAUUAAAAAUUAAAAACCAAAAAAGAACAAAUCAUAAAAAAUAAAAAAAAAAUAAAACAAAAGGACUCGGACUAAAUUUUCUAAGAACCCUAUUAUUAUUCUUGGUUUAAACCAAAACCUACGAAAUUUCAUCACAAUCAUCAAGAACCCGGAUUCAUAACUCACCUGUAGUGGGGCGAAAGUCUACCGAUCCCGGCGAGCAAACUCCCAAGAACCUGAUGCGAGUUUCUUUAUCUUGCAGCAAACCUAAAGACUCCGACCUCUCGUGCUUCUUCCGUGGAGAGAAUAAAUUCAAAAUUAAAAACCAAAAAGGAACAACUCAUAAAAAACAAAAGGGCUCGAAGACCAAAUUUUCCAAGAACCCGACUAUUUUUCUUGGUUUAAAGCAAAACCGACAUCAUCAAGAACCCGGUGGGAUUCAACUUACCUGUAGGACGACGCAAGUCUGCCGAUUCCAGCGAGCAAACUCCCAAGAACCCUGAUGCGAGUCCUCUAUCUUGCAGCAAACUUAAAGACUUUGACCUCUCGUGCUUCCUCUCCUCUCCUUGAAGAAGUCCUUCCGAUCCCAAGGAAGUGGUUUUGACGGCAUGAAAACCCAGUCAAUCGCAUGGGCAGCCCCGCCCCUAGCUUAAUCAGCCAACCACACAACCCUAACCCAAAUCUAAGGCUUCCAAAAUCCCACAACCACAAAACCACUACGCACUAAGCUGAUUCCCCGAGCUUCCACACCGAGAUCGAACCAAAUCACACCGUGCCCUAGCCUCUCGGCCAAUAAAACUAAAAAGUCCUCCGCCUUUCACUUCCCCUCCUUCAAGUCUAUGGCUUCUGCCGCGCCCUAGAUUCCACUUCGAGGGGAUGCCACCAUAGAUGAGACACAAAAGCCUCAUCUUCCUACCUCCAGUUUCUUUCACUUUCUACGCUACCAGGGGAAAAAAUUUGUUUUUGUUUCGAACGAGAAGGUGAGAUCGUGACGACAAUAAGGUACAUAAAAGAGAAGAGGAGAAGAAAAGAGGUGAAAGAAAGGAAAGUCUCAGGACUAAAGAAUGAGAAUGGUAUAUCUAUAUCAGAUCAUCGGCUUCAUUUAACCAGAAUUUAUAUAAUAUUUUCAUGUCCCAAUAAUUAAUUUCAUUUGUCCUAGUUUAUUUAUUUUCAAGGCCUAUUUAGCCAUGUUUUUUUAAACUGGGACACAUGGUAAUUUUUAAAUUUUGUUUUUAAAGAUCGUUUCAAAAUUAGAGAGAAAAAGAGUCAUGACUAAGAGUAUUUUGUUUAUUUGUUUCAAAAUUUUACUCUGGUUUUCGUUAGUGUGAAAAAAAUACACCAAUAAAUAAAAAAAUAAACUGUAAAUGAGGUAAUGCAAGAACAACUUAAUACCUUGCUAGGUUAUUAAUGAAGUAUGUCUCCAAUAUGGGUAAAUAAGAGACUAGUCCAAGCAUAGGUGCCAUGACAUUAUAUCUUAUAAUGAAGUCAUGCAUUAAAACCUGACAUGGUAAUAAGUUGUCAUAUUAGCACAUGAUAGAUGAAAAUAGAAUUAAAACAAUAGUAUAAACAAUACAUGUGACUCCACCAAACCUAUUGCAAACCUUUUCAACCACAACUUCCAUAUUUCUCCAUAGGAGUUGGAUGAGUAGCAUAAAUAGCAGCAAUAACAUUAUCAGCAGCAGCAUACCAUUAUGUUUCCUAGCAGCCAAAACUGUCAAUUAAGAUUUCUAUUUGGAUACAUGACACCAUAUGCGUCAAUUGGUUAAUAGCAACAUGGAACAUAAUGAAUAAAUAUCUACUAAGUUUUGUUACAAGAACAGUUGAAAGGACGCAUGAUACCACUUUCAAUGUAACUUUGCAACUAAGAGACAUUUUCCUCAAGUCAACAACUAAGGUUUCAAUAGUUGGAUGAAUUGCAUAAAUAAAAUCAAUAACAUUAUCAGUAAGCGCAUACCAUAAGUUAUCUGGCAGCCAAAAACCGGUGAUUAAGCUUUUCAGAAUGCCAAAUAUCAGGGUCUCAUUAUUAGACAAUAGGUUUUUCUUUCGCUCUUUAGAAAACUUGUAAGAGUAAUGCAUCCGAUUCAAGCAUGUAGUUCAAGCAACCUUGGAGUUGUUGAAACCAAUAUUAGACCCCAGAAUGAGGACAAUAUUGAGAAGCAAAAAAGUACAGGUUUUAAAAGCAAUCCAAUGUGAGGCUACCCAAUCAAGGAUCAGUACAUUAUCAACAAAUCGUAAGUAACUCGAGAUGGAGAAUCCACCUUUGGAAGAACGCUCAGAUUGGGCCUAGGACUCUCCCCAAGAUUUAAUUUACAAGAUAA
rnacentral:lncRNA from 1 species